AGAGUUUGAUCCUGGCUCAGGAUGAACGCUAGCGAUAGGCUUAACACAUGCAAGUCGAGGGGCAGCAUGAUCUUAGCUUGCUAAGGUCGAUGGCGACCGGCGCACGGGUGCGUAACGCGUAUGCAACUUGCCUUACAGAGGGGGAUAACCCGUUGAAAGACGGACUAAAACCGCAUACACUUGUAUUAUUGCAUGAUAUUACAAGGAAAUAUUUAUAGCUGUAAGAUAGGCAUGCGUCCCAUUAGCUGGUUGGUGAGGUAACGGCUCACCAAGGCGACGAUGGGUAGGGGAACUGAGAGGUUUAUCCCCCACACUGGUACUGAGACACGGACCAGACUCCUACGGGAGGCAGCAGUGAGGAAUAUUGGUCAAUGGGCGAGAGCCUGAACCAGCCAAGUCGCGUGAAGGAUGACUGUCUUAUGGAUUGUAAACUUCUUUUAUACGGGAAUAACAAGAGCCACGUGUGGCUCCCUGCAUGUACCGUAUGAAUAAGCAUCGGCUAACUCCGUGCCAGCAGCCGCGGUAAUACGGAGGAUGCGAGCGUUAUCCGGAUUUAUUGGGUUUAAAGGGUGCGUAGGUUGUUCGGUAAGUCAGCGGUGAAACCUGAGCGCUCAACGUUCAGCCUGCCGUUGAAACUGCCGGGCUUGAGUUCAGUGGCGGCAGGCGGAAUUCGUGGUGUAGCGGUGAAAUGCAUAGAUAUCACGAGGAACUCCGAUUGCGAAGGCAGCUUACUAAGGUACAACUGACGCUGAAGCACGAAAGCGUGGGUAUCAAACAGGAUUAGAUACCCUGGUAGUCCACGCAGUAAACGAUGAUAACUGGGCGUAUGCGAUAUACAGUAUGCUCCUAAGCGAAAGCGUUAAGUUAUCCACCUGGGGAGUACGCCGGCAACGGUGAAACUCAAAGGAAUUGACGGGGGCCCGCACAAGCGGAGGAACAUGUG
rnacentral:rRNA from 1 species